CGUGUAGGCGGCUUGGUAAGUCGGGUGUGAAAUCCCGGGGCUCAACCCCGGAACUGCACUCGAAACUGCCUCGCUAGAGUCCCGGAGAGGAAGGCGGAAUUCCCGGUGUAGAGGUGAAAUUCGUAGAUAUCGGGAGGAACACCAGUGGCGAAGGCGGCCUUCUGGACGGUGACUGACGCUGAGACGCGAAAGCGUGGGGAGCAAACAA
rnacentral:rRNA from 1 species